AAAUGAAUAGACGGGGACCCGCACAAGCAGUGGAGUAUGUGGUUUAAUUCGAAGCAACGCGAAGAACCUUACCAGGGCUUGACAUGGAAACGCCGGCGUUAGAGAUAACGCUUUCCCUUCGGGGACGUUUCACACAGGUGGUGCAUGGUUGUCGUCAGCUCGUGUCGUGAGAUGUUGGGUUAAGUCCCGCAACGAGCGCAACCCUUACUUUUAGUUGAUACGGUUCGGCCGAUCACUUUAAAGGGACUGCCGUUGACAAAACGGAGGAAGGUGGGGACGACGUCAAAUCAUCAUGCCCUUUAUGUCCUGGGCUACACACGUACUACAAUGGCAGUCAUACAGAGGGAAGCAAGGGAGCGAUCCGGAGCAAAACCCUAAAAGCUGCCUCAGUUCAGAUUGCAGGCUGCAACCCGCCUGCAUGAAGGUGGAAUUGCUAGUAAUCGCGGAUCAGCAUGCCGCGGUGAAUACGUUCCCGGGUCUUGUACACACCGCCCGU
rnacentral:rRNA from 1 species